CCUCGCUCUCCUAUCUUCUUCAUUCUAUUUUCUCACAGGCAAAAGAAAAACCAAAGAUCUAGCACACACCCAUAAGUAACCAAUGGAAAUGUUUCAUACCAUCACCUUAAAAGGUUUAUUUUUCAUUUGCGGAUUUCAAAGAAAUCAUCCGAUGAUUUCUUUUGAAGUAGCUCUUAGUUUGUUAAAUACUCAGUUUUUAUGUAUAAGAAAUCUAAGCUCUCUUUAAUUUUAGUAUUUUAAAACGAAUGAAAAGGUGAAGAAAAUUUCAUUAACAUAGUCACUAAAAUCCCUAACAGAAAGAAAUCAAAAUUCACUUUUCUACACCACCUUAUGGAUAUGGUUAUUGAUGAAUUAAUUUCGAAACUGCUGGAAUUCGUUGAAGAGAUAUCAACGGGAUCUGGAAAGGAAGCCGCAACUCUCAUAAAAAGGUGGAGUGAAUAAUGCUUCAUCAAGUGCUUCCAUUCUUUUCUCUUGCGGAUCUGAACUGGUAAAAUUCAAUUAUAAUUCUUGCCUUCUUUUUUCAUAUUGUGCUGAUUGCUAACUAUUUAUUCAUAAAUUACCAUCUUUCUGUAUUUUUAUUGGCUUUACUUUCCUUUGUUUGGUUGCUUAUUACAACGAGAUUUCUCUUUACUUUUGACAAA